rnacentral:rRNA from 1 species
GAUGAACGCUAGCGGCAGGCCUAACACAUGCAAGUCGAGGGGUAUAGUUCUUCGGAACUAGAGACCGGCGCACGGGUGCGUAACGCGUAUGCAAUCUACCUUUUACAGGGGAAUAGCCCAGAGAAAUUUGGAUUAAUGCCCCAUAGUGUUAUAGAAUCGCAUGGUUUUAUAACUAAAGUUCCAACGGUAAAAGAUGAGCAUGCGUCCCAUUAGUUAGUUGGUAAGGUAACGGCUUACCAAGACAAUGAUGGGUAGGGGUCCUGAGAGGGAGAUCCCCCACACUGGUACUGAGACACGGACCAGACUCCUACGGGAGGCAGCAGUGAGGAAUAUUGGACAAUGGGCGCAAGCCUGAUCCAGCCAUGCCGCGUGCAGGAAGACGGUCCUAUGGAUUGUAAACUGCUUUUGUACAGGAAGAAACACUCCCUCGUGAGGGAGCUUGACGGUACUGUAAGAAUAAGGGAUCGGCUAACUCCGUGCCAGCAGCCGCGGUAAAGUAUCGUA